rnacentral:sRNA from 22 species
CAUUCAUGUGGGCCAUAUUGCAGACAGGGACGGGGAAACCACCCACCAUCUUUUCACAAAAGAAGGCAUGGAGGCCAACUCCUUGGGGUGAAGCCAGACAUCCACUGGCAGAGCAACUCCUCCGCUCUAACCCGACAGCUAACCUCGACGGCGACAAAUGAGAGGAAAA